rnacentral:sRNA from 1 species
GGUUGACCUCGGAUCAGGUAGGGAUACCCGCUGAACUUAAGCAUAUCAAUAAGCGGAGGAAAAGAAACCAACAGGGAUUGCCUCAGUAACGGCGAGUGAAGCGGCAACAGCUCAAAUUUGAAAUCUGGCCCUCGCAGGGUCCGAGUUGUAAUUUGUAGAGGAUGCUUCGGGUUCGGCUCCGGUCUAAGUUCCUUGGAACAGGACGUCACAGAGGGUGAGAAUCCCGUACGUGACCGGCCGCCACGCCCGUGUGAAGCUCCUUCGACGAGUCGAGUUGUUUGGGAAUGCAGCUCCAAAUGGGUGGUAAAUUUCAUCUAAAGCUAAAUACUGGCCAGAGACCGAUAGCGCACAAGUAGAGUGAUCGAAAGAUGAAAAGCACUUUGGAAAGAGAGUUAAAAAGUACGUGAAAUUGUUGAAAGGGAAGCGCUUGCAACCAGACUUGCCCGCGGGUGAUCAGCCGGUAUUCUUACCGGUGCACUCGCCCGUGGUCAGGCCAGCAUCGGUUUGGGCGGCUGGACAAAGGCCUCCGGAAUGUAGCUCC